UUUAAUUUUUUUAUUUUCACAUGUGAAUAUCCAGCCUGGCAUAAAUUAGAAAUUAGGGUUCUAUGAAGGAAAUCCAUCCCUAUCCCAAAUCCAUCCCUCUCUUCAUCUUCGUGAAAUCCAUCCCUCUCUUCAUCUUCGUGACGAGAAAGAGAGGAUACUGGAAAAAUAUAAUCAUCUUUUCAUAGAGGAAGGACCAAGACCAACCAGGAAAGGUGGAAGGAAAUCGAGUGCAAAAAAGAAUAAAGAGCAGUCUAAUGAAUCUAAAAAGGACUCUGAGGAAAAGUAGUGGUAAGGACGUGAAUCCUUAAAUCAAGCUUCCAUGAUUUUCAGCAGGAUGUAGAUUUAAUUGUUAUAUUGGUUUUAACAGCAUGAGCCAAUUUUGGGCAGAGGAUAAUACAAACAUUUGUUUCGUUUUUUCCCGAGCUUGUAAUAGAAGCAAAACACCAUGCACCCGAUCCAUAUGUACGUAUCAAGGACAGUAUACUUGAAAUUUGACUAUUCAUCAAGUGUUCAAUGUGCAGAAUGUUACUUGUCUUAUGGGCAGAACAAGAACUUCAUUAACUGAUAUUACAGAUUAAGUGUAUUCUUUGAUACCUUAGGUUGUACUCUAUGGUGAUGUUAUAGACCAAAGUUUCUUUGCUCAAUUAUUAUGCAGGUUAUGCAUGUAGAUUUACAAUUCAAUGUUCCAAACCAAAUCUCAACAGCAAAGCUGUUCCAAGUUUGUUAGACAGUUUAUAGCUCUUGAAAACAAGUAUGUUAGCUAUUGUGUGUGAACAUUUACUCACUUAAUAUUCAUUGCAAAUAAACAGUUUCACAUCCUA